GGAAGACAGGUCAGGAAUGUUGAAAUGAAAGAAGUGCUUGGCUUCCUCUGAGCCCCAGCUGGACACAGGCAUCUGUGAUGCAUCCAGAUUCAGGCUGCUCAUGGACUCUGAGGACUCAACGCUCCCGGAGGGCUAGCAGGGAGCUUUGCACACAUACAACCAGUUCUCACCAAGCAACUGGGGAUUAAUAGUGCAAGGGGUUAAAUGGGUUCAAACUGUUCCUCUUAAGCUCCCCAAGAUGGUGAACCGCACUUCAAAGCUGCUUGAAAAUUCUUACUUGGUGAGCAUGCUGUUCUGUGUCCCUUUUGGGCAGAGGAUUGGGAAGGCAGCCACCAAGGCCGCCUGCCGAGUGAACAGGGGGAGGGGGCACUCCAGGUGACGUGUGUGCAGAGACCCGCUCAUGCCUGACCCACAGUUAGUGCACGCUCACAGUGGUUCCAGUCUUGUCCCAGCGACCCGACUGGCCUGCUUUGUUAUUGGAACUAGAGCUGAUGAUUCACUUUAAAUAGAUCCUUAACCUCACAAUUUGUUUUUCUUGAAACGGUCCUGAGAGGUGCUUUCCAAGAAACAAGGAAAAAACUGACUGCACAGUGGUGACUUUGAGUCUGUCUGCAGAAAGCAGUGUUUAGCGGGUGACCUUUGACAUAUCGUCUGCCCUUCCUGCAUGUCGUUUGUGCUCUGGCUGACAAACAACGAUCUCACCAGCCAUCAGCGCUCCACAGGAAUGAAAAGAGGCAAUGGACUCCGUGAGGGGAGACCCGAAGUCUGUGAAUGCCCAGCUUCUGAGAUACCGUCAAUACUGUUGACUGCAUGAAUGGAUGAAUUGCAAGUGAGUUGUUGAACACAGUGGCAAGGAGGCUCCUUACUAGCUUGGAACCCCCUCCUCCGGCAGGGAAAGUGAUUACCAACCUGGAGGUCAGCCAGGCCAAGAGGGCUUUGAGAUCUACAACACCAUCUCCAUCUACUGGGUUUGGGUUACGUGUUUUAAGUGGCUCAACCUUCCUCUGAAAUCAUAGCAAUAGCAAUGAAUGAUGUCCCAUCAGGCACUGCCCUGGUUUUUUUGCAC
rnacentral:lncRNA from 10 species